rnacentral:lncRNA from 1 species
AGGGAACCAAGGCAAAUGCAGAAUAAGAACCUUAAGCAUAAGAGCUAUUAAAAUACAUACAACACUAGGAGAGUGCUAUUAACCGAGAUAGGGGAGAAUCACAAGAAUAGGGGUAAAUGCACCUCGACCUUCCCUAGAAGUCCACUGCUAGAAAAAAGAUUAAAGAUUAAACCUCGACCUUCAUACCAUGAUGCCUAAAAGCACAGUACUC